rnacentral:rRNA from 1 species
UACAGAGGGUGCAAGCGUUGUUCGGAAUUACUGGGCGUAAAGCGUGCGUAGACGGUUGCGUAAGUCAGAUGUGAAAGCCCCGGGCUCAACCUGGGAAUUGCAUUUGAGACUGCGUAGCUAGGGUGCGGAAGAGGGAAGCGGAAUUUCCGGUGUAGCGGUGAAAUGCGUAGAUAUCGGAAGGAACACCAGUGGCGAAAGCGGCUUCCUGGUCCAGCACCGACGUUCAGGCACGAAAGCGUGGGGAGCAAACAGG